UACAGAGGUCUCAAGCGUUUGUUCGGAUUCAUUGGGCGUAAAGGGUGCGUAGGUGGCGCCGUAAGUCGGGUGUGAAAUUUCGGAGCUUAACUCCGAAACUGCAUUCGAUACUGCGGUGCUUGAGGACUGGAGAGGAGACUGGAAUUUACGGUGUAGCAGUGAAAUGCGUAGAUAUCGUAAGGAAGACCAGUGGCGAAGGCGGGUCUCUGGACAGUUCCUGACACUGAGACACGGAAGGCCAGGGGAGCAAAACGGG
rnacentral:rRNA from 1 species